UACGUAGGUGGCAAGCGUUAUCCGGAUUUAUUGGGUGUAAAGGGCGUGUAGGCGGGAGCGCAAGUCAGAUGUGAAAACUCAGGGCUCAACCCUGAGCCUGCAUUUGAAACUGUAUGACUAGAUUGCAGGAGAGGUAAGUGGAAUUCCUAGUGUAGCGGUGAAAUGCGUAGAUAUUAGGAGGAACACCAGUGGCGAAGGCGGCUUACUGGACCGUAAAUGACGCUGAGGCUCGAAAGCGUGGGGAGCAAACAGG
rnacentral:rRNA from 1 species